AACGCACGAGACCUGCGGACCUGCGGAGGGAUCAUUAGUGAACGCCCUCACGGGCUUAUGACUAUUCCAAACCUCUGUGAACCGUGCCCUUCGGGGCUAUUUUACAAACAUGGUGUAAUGAACGUCAUAUAUCAUAACAAAACAAAACUUUUAGCAACGGAUCUCU
rnacentral:misc_RNA from 1 species